UACGUAGGGUGCGAGCGUUAAUCGGAAUUACUGGGCGUAAAGCGUGCGCAGGCGGUUGUGCAAGACCGAUGUGAAAUCCCCGGGCUUAACCUGGGAACUGCAUUUGUGACUGCAAGGCUAGAGUACGGCAGAGGGGGAUGGAAUUCCGCGUGUAGCAGUGAAAUGCGUAGAUAUGCGGAGGAACACCAAUGGCGAAGGCAAUCCCCUGGGCCUGUACUGACGCUCAUGCACGAAAGCGUGGGGAGCAAACAGG
rnacentral:rRNA from 1 species